rnacentral:rRNA from 1 species
UAAGCAUAUCAAUAAGCGGAGGAAAAGAAACCAACAGGGAUUGCCCUAGUAACGGCGAGUGAAGCGGCAACAGCUCAAAUUUGAAAUCUGGCGCAAGCCCGAGUUGUAAUUUGUAGAGGAUGUUUCUGGCGACGCGCCUUCCGAGUUCCCUGGAACGGGACGCCAUAGAGGGUGAGAGCCCCGUACGGUUGGAUGCCUAGCCUCUGUGAAACUCCUUCGACGAGUCGAGUAGUUUGGGAAUGCUGCUCUAAAUGGGAGGUAUACGUCUUCUAAAGCUAAAUACCGGCCAGAGACCGAUAGCGCACAAGUAGAGUGAUCGAAAGAUGAAAAGCACUUUGAAAAGAGGGUUAAAAAGUACGUGAAAUUGUUGAAAGGGAAGCGUUCAUGACCAGACUUGGGCAGGUUGAUCAUCCGUGGUUCUCCGCGGUGCACUCUGCCUGCCCAGGCCAGCAUCAGUUCGCUCCGGGGGAUAAAGGCUCUGGGAAUGUGGCUCCUUCGGGAGUGUUAUAGCCCACUGCGUAAUACCCUGGGGUGGACUGAGGUUCGCGCUCUGCAAGGAUGCUGGCGUAAUGGUCAUCAACGACCCGUCUUGAAACACGGACCAAGGAGUCGUCUUCGUAUGCGAGUGUUCGGGUGUCAAACCCCUACGCGUAAUGAAAGUGAACGUAGGAGAGAGCUUCGGCGCAUCUCCGACCGAUCCUGAUGUUCUCGGAUGGAUUUGAGUAAGAGCAUACGGGGCCGGACCCGAAAGAAGGUGAACUAUGCCUGUAUAGGGUGAAGCCAGAGGAAACUCUGGUGGAGGCUCGCAGCGGUUCUGACGUGCAAAUCGAUCGUCAAAUAUGGGCAUGGGGGCGAAAGACUAAUCGAACCUUCUAGUAGCUGGUUUCCGCCGAA